UACGUAGGGGGCGAGCGUUGUCCGGAUUCAUUGGGCGUAAAGCGCUUUAAGGCGGUUCGGUAAGUCGGGUGUGAAACCUCCAGGCUCAACCUGGAGACGCCACUCGAUACUGCCGUGACUAGAGUCCGGUAGGGGACCACGGAAUUCCUGGUGUAGCGGUGAAAUGCGCAGAUAUCAGGAGGAACACCAGUGGCGAAGGCGGUGGUCUGGGCCGGUACUGACGCUGUAGAGCGAAAGCGUGGGGAGCGAA
rnacentral:rRNA from 1 species